UACGGGGGGGGUAAGCGUUGUUCGGAAUUAUUGGGCGUAAAGAGCUCGUAGGCGGUGUGUCGCGUCGGCCGUGAAAACCUGCAGCUUAACUGUGGGCUUGCGGUCGAUACGGGCAUCACUGGAGUUCGGCAGGGGAGACUGGAAUUCCUGGUGUAGCGGUGAAAUGCGCAGAUAUCAGGAGGAACACCGGUGGCGAAGGCGGGUCUCUGGGACGGUACUGACGCUGAGACGCGAAAGCGUGGGGAGCGAACAGG
rnacentral:rRNA from 1 species